UACUCCGGAAGCUUGUUUAAGGGAUUCCUGCACAGGAAACUCGGACACCAGAUAGACUACGGGAGAACGGUGCGGGAUUAAUUGUUUUUCUAGUUGCUGUGACAAACCAUCUGAUAGAAACAAUUUGAUCUACAGUUUGAAGAUGGAAACUUCUGUGGAGGGAAAGCUAUCAUAGCAGCAUGACAGAAGCAGCUGAUCAGACUUGGUCCUUAGUCAGGACACAGAGAGGUGGAUGACCUGCGACAAGGAGGAAGAAGCCCGCACAGGAAUUACGUUCUUCUCUUUCUCCCUCAGAAGCAAGCCUUAGCCAGCUUGUGCUGUGCCAACAUCAGAGGCAGAACUGAGGGUGUCUUCCUAUUUUGGGUGGAUGUAAGAGGGAGUUUCUGAAUGACGUUGUCACUGACAAUAUGGUACCACACAGCACAGCUGCAGGAGAUGGUGAGAUAUUUAAAAGGUGUGGCCUAGUGGGAGGUGUUCAGGUCAUUGGAAACAUGACCUCAAAUGUGACUGUGAGACUCUACUUCAUCCUCCUCUAUUCAUUGACUCCACAU